AGAGUUUGAUCAUGGCUCAGAACGAACGUUGGCGGCGUGGAUUAGGCAUGCAAGUCGCACGAAUCCCAGCAAUGGGGGAAGUGGCGUAAGGGGCAGUAAGGCAUGGGUGACCUACCCGGGGGUUGGGCAUAGCCUGUAGAGAUACAGGGUAAUUCCCGAUGAUGUCGUAAGACCAAAGCUCCGGUGCCCCCGGAGGGGCCCAUGUGGUAUUAGCUAGUUGGUGAGGUAACGGCUCACCAAGGCGAAGAUGCCUAGCGGGUGUGAGAGCACGACCCGCGCCACUGGCACUGAGACACUGGCCAGACACCUACGGGUGGCUGCAGUCGAGGAUCUUCGGCAAUGGGCGCAAGCCUGACCGAGCGACGCCGCGUGGGCGACGAAGGCCUUCGGGUUGUAAAGCCCUGUCGAGGGGGAGAAAAGCGCAAGCAUGAUCUAUCCCUGGAGGAAGCACGGGCUAAGUUCGUGCCAGCCGCCGCGGUAAUAC
rnacentral:rRNA from 1 species